rnacentral:rRNA from 1 species
UACGUAGGGUGCGAGCGUUAAUCGGAAUUACUGGGCGUAAAGCGUGCGCAGGCGGUGAGUUAAGUCUGAUGUGAAAGCCCCGGGCUCAACCUGGGAAUGGCAUUGGAAACUGGCUCGCUGGAGUAUGGCAGAGGGGGGUAGAAUUCCACGUGUAGCAGUGAAAUGCGUAGAGAUGUGGAGGAAUACCGAUGGCGAAGGCAGCCCCCUGGGCCAAUACUGACGCUCAUGCACGAAAACGUGGGGAGCAAACAGG